rnacentral:lncRNA from 1 species
GCUACAGCUUCAAUAAAAUAAAACUCUGAAUAACCCUAAAUAACUUGAAACUUCUGAAAGAAACAAUAUCUUCCUCUGCUACAGAAUACUUACUGUUGUCACAUCAUUUCCCCAUGAGUGUGGAAACAGUAGGGGCAAUCAGAAUCAGAGCGUGCCUCUGGGUCGCCGUGGGAGCUUCUGGUGCACUGGAAAACUGAACGGAAAAGGGCAAACAGGACAAGAGAAAACCUGUGUGAAAGUGAAGUAAUCAAGUUUGGCACAGCACAGAUGUGAUGGAAAAAACAGUAUUAACUUACAGAUGAAUAAGACCUCAUGGCAGCCUACAGCUCCUCGUGCCCCUCCCUCAGUGGAGGGGCAGCAC